rnacentral:lncRNA from 1 species
GAACACUAAGGCAGCAUCUGAGGCACAAUCAUUUGCCUCUAUUGGCUCUCAAGAUGCUCCAUCUAAUAGGACAGGUUUCAGAUUCUCCAGUAAUGGUUUCUUCUAGUCAGAAGGUCUCUAACCAACAUUAUAUAUCUAUCUAUAUAUACCUACACUAUUCAAGUAAGUCUGGUGCUAAUAUGUGGAGAUUGAACAGAAGGCCUAAUGGACUAUAACAAAAGGGAUCGGAAAACAUUGUGCAAAACGUUAUCAGAACACUUAACAGGCCGUAUUGUGAUAAUCUAUUUACAUAUUUGUCUUUUUCAUUAAAAUAAACUCCUUGACGGUAGAGGCUGUAUCAUUUCAGGAAUUUAAUCAGUAAUUCCUAAUGAGUGCCUGAUACUCCGUAUAGGUUUAUUCAAAGAAUAAAUAAAUAAAUGCUAAUUAUCAUAUAAUAUGUGAUGUUAUAUAUCUUCUUGUAUAUCAUAGAUUGGUUUAAAAGUUAUAAAAACACUCAUUUUGAUUAAAUAACAAAAUACAAUGCUUCCUGGAUAUGAACUUGAAAUGAAUGUUUCUGGCGAGGGCGUAUAUCUUUAUAUGCUGUGGAACGACAAUGUUCUCACAAAUAUUUGAGAAUGCAAUAUGCUAUUAUUCCUGAAGAGUAGCCUAGAGAAUCAUUCUUCUCUUCAGACUCUCCGUCUAUUAAAGCUGUCCUUAAUUAACCUGCUUAUUGUUCCCAUUCCCUUUCAGAAUUGCAUUCUCUAUCACUCAAACACAGUAACUGUCACAGUGCCCUGAAUAGCUCCCAGCUUGGCCACUCUGUUUCGGCAACACUUUUUCUAACUGACAAGAAACGGGGCUUUAGGCAGAGAUCAUUUAGUGGAGUAGCACAACAGUGGAUGGUCAUCUAUAUAUACACACUGAAGAGGAAAAGAAAGGGGAUAGAAUGGGUUGGUAAAAAGGUACCAUAGAGCCCUCAGAUAAAAAGAUUGGAAAGUAGAGCCAGAAAUGAUGAAAGUAACACCACCACCAACUUCACAACAACAAUAUAAUAGUUAAUGGGAAUGGAAGAUAUAUAACUCAGGUAAUAACAGUCCCCUUGGUUCAUUUAUUUCUUUGCAAGGGCUUAAACCCCUGGCUUAAAAAUUUUUAUAUAGUAUUAGUAGCUCACCCUACCUAAUUCCUACGUCCUCCUUAAUGAAAUCUAAUAAUGGAUGUUUUAAACUAGAGUGUCUAUCUUAGAUAUAUGGUUAGUAAUAGCAGAUGAUCCAAAAGUUUUUCUUAGAUUAUAUAGAGGGAUGACCAUAGCAGUUAAGUUACUAGGGGAAUCUCAACUAUUAUGAGGAAAGAUAAAACAUUAUAACCAUAAACCAGAUCACCAGAACUUGCACUUUGCUCCUAUUCUCUCCUUCUUUCGUCAUAAAACGAAUCACUAAAUUUCAUAGGAUCAUAAACUCUACAUUUAUUAUUUAAGUAAAAAAGCUUUGCAAGAAAAAGACAAAUGGGGGAAAAAGGCAAAAGAAAUAAAAUUAAAGGUUCAGGUGAUAGAGAGCUAUUCAAACAUGAAGGUAAGAAGUGCCUUCUCACAGAACGGAGUGCUGAGAUAUAACUGCAGAGACACUUGAAAGAGGCCAGUGCUAAAUAAUAAAUGAAGAAUCUAUUGAGAGAAGUAGAGGAGCUUAGAAGAAACAAAAUGCUCUGUAAACAUAAUUUUUUAAAAGACAUCUCUUUCAAACUUAAAACCUGGAAGUUUGAGGAACCUAGGCUUUGCUAAGAAAAGGUGAUUUCCCUUGUGAGCCACACAGAUUAAGAUAUGCACAUAAAAAAUUACACUGGCAAGUAGCUGAGGAUUUUAAUAAACAUGUAAAUUAUAACCUUAAAAACAAACAAAAAGAGCCCAGAGACUGUGUUUCUUCCAAAUAGGCAUGAGAACCUUACAGAAGUGACGUUAGCUUGCAGAGGCAAAGCGAGAGCCAAGUUUGAAGUAAAGGAGACUCAAGUCACUUGUUUGUAAAGUAACUUCAACUAGGUUUCCAUAUAGUGGGCAUUGUAUCACCUCAAAUCAUUGCAAGAAGAAGGGUGAGUACAGUACACUAAGAUAUUUUGAAAGAGAGAAAGAGAAAUCACAUUCACAUGGGUUUUGUUGUAAUAUAUUGUUAUAAUUGGUCUAUUUCAUUAUUAGUUAUUGUUGUUAAUCUGUAUCAUAGGUAUCUAUAUAUAGGAAAAACGUAUUAUAUGUAGGGCUUGGUUCUAUCCACUUUUUCAGACAUCCACUGGGGAUCUUGGAACAUGUGCUCCCGUGGAUAAGAGGGAUUACUGUAAUAAAAAUGCUGGCUAAGUGCACUCAUUCAUAAAGGCACUUUAUGCAAUAAAAUCAGAAGUAUUUUCAAAAAAAGUUUAGUAGAUUUUUCAUUUUAGGGUAGUUUUAGGUUUACUGCAAAAUUAAACGGAACGACAGAGAUGUCUCCUAUAGCCGCUGCCCCCAUGCUUGCAUAGCCUCCACCAUUAUCAACAUCCUCCAUCAAAUUGGUGUAUUUAUUACAAUUGAUAACCCUAUGCUGACACAUCAUUAUCAUCAAAGUCCAUAGCUAACACUAGAGUUCACUCUUGGUGGUGUACCUUUUUUGGGUUUGGACAAAGGUAUAAUGACAUGUUUUCACAAUGACAGUAUUAUAUGGAGUACUUACACUGUCCCCAAAAUCCUCUGAGCUCUGCUUAUUCAUCCCUCCAUCCCCUAACCCCUGGCAGUCACUGACAUCUGGCAAUUGCUUUUUCCAGAAUGUCAUAGAGUUGGAAUUAAACAGGACAUAGCCUUUUCAGAUUUGCUUCUUUCUCUUAGUAAUAUGCAUUUAAGUUUCCUCUGUAUCUUUUUAAUGCUGAAUAAUAUUUCAAUGUCUUCAUGCACUACAGUUUAUUUAUCCACUCACCUACUGAAGGGCAUCUUGGUUCCCUCCCAGUUUUGGCAAUUAUUAGAAAGUUGCUAUAAACAUCUCUGUGCUAGUUUUUGUGUGAACAUGUUUUCAUCUCCUUUGGGUAAAUACCACAGAGUGUGAUUACAUAGUAAGAGUAUGUUUGGUUUUGUAAGAAACUGCCAAACUCUUCCAAAGUGAAAAAUUUUUUCAAAAUAACUUGAACAAGAAUGCCCCAAACAUCUCCAUGAUUCAUUAAGAACAAAUGCUGG